rnacentral:rRNA from 1 species
GCAGGAGUGGCGGACGGGUGAGUAACAAGUUGGUAGCUACCUUAGACUCAGGGAUAAUCUCGCGAAAGUGAGACUAAUACCGGAUAGUCCCUUCGGGGUAAAGAUUUAUCGGUCUAAGAGGUGCCUACUUCCUAUCAGUUAGUUGGUGAGGUAAUAGCUCACCAAGACUAUGACGGGUAGCUGGUCUGAGAGGAUGAUCAGCCACACUGGGACUGAGACACGGCCCAG